AACAGCUCUCCAAGCUUCUCUCUUGAUCUGAGUGGUCUGCAUGGGAUUGUGCAUGGGGUAUCUAUCCCUUGAGAAAUGCCUUUUCUACACCACACAGGCCACUAUUGGGUGCCUUCAGGAUUUCAGGCAGGAGAGACUUCUCUCAGCUGGAUGGCAGCUUCUGCCAUGGGGGGAAAGUGAUAGUAUGUGAGAGCUGGCUCCCUCAGCUGUGUGGAGAGACCCACUCCUUUCUUGCCCCAUCCAGAAAACUGAGGGUGCUUCCAGGGCGAUUAAUUGUCCAACACUUCCGACUUCCCUGUGCAUACUUCCCAAGGCCAAAAAAAGCCUUCAAGCGGAUAUUUUUGGGAGUCAGUGGUAAGUAGCCUUUGACUUUGGAAAUGAAUGCCAAGGGGUUUGGCAUGGGGAACACCAAUUGUUUCUGCUGCAUACACGAAGACAGAAUGCCGAUCCCCUCUUUGCCUCCCUACUUUGGACCUGAAGGAGGGAACAGGACAUGCAGUCCUUGAACCCAGAAGUGUCCUAGGUAGGGAGGGCUGCAAGAGAAUAGGGGGAAACACAGGAGUCGUGGAGGUGACCAGUCUGAGGAAACAUGUGCAAGAUCCGAGUCAAAUUGUGGUGAGGCUGAGUGGUGAGAGGAUCAACAGCUCUGGAUGACAUCAGGCCAUGACUAGUGGCCAGGAGCCCAAAGGAUGAGACUGGAAUGAUGGAAAUACUGGUCUUCCCAAGAGGGUCAGGCUGAAGUAUAUGGCUGGCUGUGCCACAUACUUUUCUCCACACGGGGAGAAAAACCUGAUGCAGAGUGAAAUCUUGGGCAAGGGGGUUGGAAGGAAGCAAGUGAGGUGGACAGGGUUUCCAGCGCCUCCUCCUUCUCCAGGGAGAGCUAGUUGAAAAUAUGAGUGUCGGGGGAGCCAGGCAGCAGGGCCAGCAGGGCAGGCUAACCAGGGGGCAUGAAAAGUGCAAAACUGGACAUCAGGGCUGUCACUGGGCCUGCACGGUUUCCUGCCAGCUCCCUAGGCCAAUGCAGGGGAUGCCAAGACUGGCCCAAGCCCACAGGCUUGGCCGUAUCCAACAGGGCUGGGCUGUAAGUUCUUUUGGCUGGGACACAUGUGAGGGCUUAAUGUGUAUAAAGUUCUGGGUGCUGGGUCGAGUUGGGGUGACUUUCAAGGUAAGGCAGCUUGGAACGAAGCACUCCAAUUUGGGGAUGUUUUUCUCUGGGUUGGACUGAAAUUUACCUCCUUUGAACUUUCCCCUGGUCCUUGUGUUCCCCUCUGGAAUUCUUUGAUCAGUCCCAAGAAAGUUUGUGUCAAUAUAGCAUCUGGUCCAUGGCAGCCGAUAAAAACUCCCGUUUGGGUUUGGGCAGGUGCUUGUGCUUUGUGAGAUAUCAGGAAGGUUAUGGCAAGAAUGUGCCCGAUAUCCACCCCCGGUUUCAGCUAGCCUGUUCUAUUCCAGAUAUUUCCAGGGAAAGCAACUCUGCCGUGGACACAGGUAGGGUCUGUUGCACUUUCCUUCCAAGCUCCUCAUCCCCAGCCUUCUAUGCCCCUUCUCAGGCUUACAAUUCAUGGCACCGCCUCAAACAGCAAGGUCUUUCUCCUUUCCUUUGGUCUGCCGUUACAAACCCACCACUGAGAUUUCUCCCCAUUGCGAUGCUCAUCCUCUCACAGAAUUUUAAACACACUCAACAUUCGUUCGAGUUAUGUCUCAUUGAAAGAAAUGUAUUUUGCUCCCCUAUGAACCUGCCAUGUGGAUCCAGAAGGGCUUUAAUUCAUUUUAUGUGAAUGGAAACUUAAAGCAUAAGGAAUUUUUAGCCUGAAAUGCUCUAUAUGUUAGGUGACAAAGCACAGUAACGACGUACAAAGCUGUCAUCUCAUUCAGCCCAAACCAAAAGCAAAACAAGCAAACAGAAUUCCCAUCGUUGUUUUGCCCAGAGCAGCAUCUUUAAGAAUGAGUAAGAGCGAUGCGCACAUAAUGGCAAGUCAGCCUGUGGUCACUGGCAAAUUUGUACAAAUGAUACUCUGACAUCCCAAUUAGGAUUUGAAACAUUGCUCCUUUUAAAACUGAAACAAGCCUUUUAUUGUUCACUCUGCUUUAUAGUAACACUCAACUACAGACAGGAGACAAUUAGAAUAACCUAGAAGUUAUAGGAGGGAAUUGGAAAGUUUGGCUAAAAGAGCUUCUCUCCUUUGAGCCAAACAUUCUCUAUAUCGUUUUAGUUGCAUGUUUAUGGAUUUCUGAGAAAUUAAAAAUAAUGUGCUCUUAGUACAGCAGGCACCCACACCAAAGAGAAGGAACAAGCCACACCAGAGACAGAAAAAGAGCAAGAAUGAAAAUUCCACAAAAAAGAACUCAGAGGGAGGGACAGGAUUGUUUUUCCUGCCCAGUCAAGAAGGAGUCAGAAAAAAGGGGAUUUUCUCAGUCUAGAGAAUAAUCUUUGUUUUCAGUUCACGGGUAGUUUUCCUUAUUUCUCUUCAUUUUACUAGAAUUUCUCAUCAUGUUAAAUAUCUUAGCAGUGAAUUUCCAGUCAUAGUUUCCAUUAACAAUAUAGUUAAAAAAACUUCUACCUGGAGGAUCACCUGGUAGCUCAGUUGGUUAAGCAUCUGACUCUUGAUUUCGGCUCAGGUCAUG